rnacentral:rRNA from 1 species
CUCAGUUCAGAUUGUAGGCUGAAACUCGCCUAUAUGAAGUCGGAAUUGCUAGUAAUGGCAGGUCAGCAUACUGCCGUGAAUACGUUCCCGGGCCUUGUACACACCGCCCGUCACACCAUGAGAGUUGGAGAUACCCGAAGCCUGUGAGCUAACUUUUAGAGGCAGCAGUCGAAGGUAGAAUCAAUGAUUGGGGUGAAGUCGUAACAAGGUACC